UACGUAGGGUGCAAGCGUUAAUCGGAAUUACUGGGCGUAAAGCGUGCGCGGGCGGUUUUGUAAGUCUGAUGUGAAAUCCCCGGGCUCAACCUGGGAAUUGCAUUGGAGACUGCAAGGCUAGAAUCUGGCAGAGGGGGGUAGAAUUCCACGUGUAGCAGUGAAAUGCGUAGAGAUGUGGAGGAACACCGAUGGCGAAGGCAGCCCCCUGGGUCAAGAUUGACGCUCAUGCACGAAAGCGUGGGGAGCAAACAGG
rnacentral:rRNA from 1 species